GUAUAUCGAACCGAAUAUCAUAGCCAAAUUGAUUGUCGGUUUUUUAAAGUAACAAUUCAAAAGUAAUCUAAUUUCAAUAAAUUAAAUAUAGAUAUUUGUUUUACUAGUUAUUAUCAAAACGACGUCGAAACAAGAUAUUGCGCUAACGGUUUAGUAUUCUGUCUUUUGCAGUGUGUCGGUUACCGACCGCUGACCCCCUAUGGGAAUAUAGGCCGAUAAAAAAUACGGAUAUUGGCUAU